rnacentral:lncRNA from 1 species
AUUCACUAGCUGACAUUGUUUUUGCUAUUUUCCCCCUAAUUCUUCCAUGUUUUUCUUUCAGUUAAGAAAUUAUUGAGCAAAGAUGACUGAAAGAGUUUUAGAGAAGCUAUCGGCCUUGGACAAACGUUCAGAGAAGGUGAUGGAUAUAUGGACACAGAAAUGUUGGAUGCAAAAUGUCAGCAGGAAGAAGAGUUUGCGUAUUCCCCUGACCUUUGACUUCCACACAGGCUUUGAAAAACCCUGUCCUAAAAGCAUUCCUUCCAAACUCAAAGAAUCUUCCCAAAAGGAACAGUCAUCGGUAGAUGGUCGAAAGGUGGACAAAAAGCUUACCAGUGGUUCAAAUGUAUGGAAGCCCAAACUUCUGACUUCUGGACUUUUGCCCAGAAAGUGUCUCUUUGGGAAGGCAAAUAUGAGACCUUAUUCUGUUCCAGGCAACCUGAAAUAUCAGCUUUUAGUAGAGAAACUACAGUUUUCAGAAGCACCUGCACAAUGGAAGUCUGUUAAGCCUUUUCUUUACCCAAAAAGCAAGGACAAAGCUGAGACAGGACACAUGAUACCAUGGAUCAGAAUAUCCCAACCAACUCCGUCAUCAUUCAAAGGACCUGCUUUGGGCACUCCAGAAUUCUCUGCUCCAUAUUAUCAGUCCAGUUAUAGAGAAAAGGAAAGGAAAUGCACAGAUUUUCCCGGUAAAAACAGAUAUCUUUUUCAGAAAUUUGGAAAAAUCCCUGACACAACUGGCAUUUUACCAAGGGACGGCGUGAGAGGAAGGAAAAGAGUGAUCGCCCAAAAGGAUGCUACUUCUCUGGGGAGAAGAGGAUCGUUCAGGUACAUCCUUCCCACCCGACGUGAUUUAGAGAAUGAGACAACACAUUUGAUCCCUCUGACUGUGCAGGAUGAGCUGAGGAAGCCAAACACCAAGGUCAUCAGCCACCAUCACCCAAAACAAGAGGCUUCUUCCCCGGUAACAAAAACGAGCAUCUUCCCGGCCAUUCCCGGUCACCCUGGGGCUGAGAGGGGA